CAAUAGCGUAUAUUAAAGUUGUUGCAGUUAAAAAGCUCGUAGUUGGAUUUCUGGUCGGAAGCUCCUGUCCUCUGAUGAGCGUACAAGUGCGUCCUACCAUCCUUCUGUUAACCUUUAAGGCUUUCGCGGCUUUCUAGGGGCUCAGAUAUUUUACCUUGAGAAAAUUAGAGUGUUUCAGGCAGGCUAGCGCCGGAAUACAUUAGCAUGGAAUAAUGGAAUAGGACUUUUGCCUCUUCUGUUGGUCAUGAGGCUCGAGUAAUGAUUAAUAGGGAUAGUUGGGGGCAUUAGUACUUAACUGUCAGAGGUGAAAUUCUCGGAUUUGUUAAAGACUAACUUAUGCGAAAGCAUUUGCCAAGGAUGUUUNCAUUAA
rnacentral:rRNA from 1 species